AUUGAACGCUGGCGGCAGGCCUAACACAUGCAAGUCGAGCGCAGCGGCGGACGAGUGAUUAAUGCCUAGUAAUCUGCCUGUUAGUGGGGGAUAACUUCCGGAAACGGGCGCUAAUACCACAUGCUAUCAGAUCAGCCUAGGUGGUAUUAGCUAGUUGGUGGGGUAAAGGCCUACCAAGGCGAUGAUCCGUAACUGGUCUGAGAGGAUGAUCAGUCACACGGGAACUGAGACACGGUCCAGACUCCUACGGGAGACAGCAGUGGGGAAUCUUGGACAAUGGGCGAAAGCCUGAUCCAGCCAUGCCGCGUGUGUGAAGAAGGUUUUCGGAUUGUAAAGCACUUUAAGUUGGGAGGCGUUAUCAACAGAGUAAGCAACGGCUAACUUCGUGCCAGCAGCCGCGGUAAUAC
rnacentral:rRNA from 1 species